CGUUGAUUACGUCCCUGCCCUUUGUACACACCGCCCGUCGCUACUACCGAUUGAAUGGCUUAGUGAGACCCUCGGAUUGCGGAUCGUUCGUUGGCAACAACACACGGUUUACGAGAAGUUGGUCAAACUUGGUCGUUUAGAGGAAGUAAAAGUCGUAACAAGG
rnacentral:rRNA from 1 species